rnacentral:rRNA from 1 species
AGAACGAACGCUGGCGGCAUGCCUAAUACAUGCAAGUCGAACGAACUCUUCGGAGUUAGUGGCGCACGGGUGCGUAACGCGUGGGAAUCUGCCCUUGGGUUCGGAAUAACAGUUGGAAACGACUGCUAAUACCGGAUGAUGACGAAAGUCCAAAGAUUUAUCGCCCAGGGAUGAGCCCGCGUAGGAUUAGCUAGUUGGUGAGGUAAAGGCUCACCAAGGCGACGAUCCUUAGCUGGUCUGAGAGGAUGAUCAGCCACACUGGGACUGAGACACGGCCCAGACUCCGUACGGGAGCAGCAAGUAGGGAAUAGUUGGACAAGUGGGGACGAAAGCC